rnacentral:rRNA from 1 species
GACGAACGCUGGCGGCGUGCUUAACACAUGCAAGUCGAACGGAAAGGCCCUGCUUUUGUGGGGUGCUCGAGUGGCGAACGGGUGAGUAACACGUGAGUAACCUGCCCUUGACUUUGGGAUAACUUCAGGAAACUGGGGCUAAUACCGGAUAGGAGCUCCUGCUGCAUGGUGGGGGUUGGAAAGUUUCGGCGGUUGGGGAUGGACUCGCGGCUUAUCAGCUUGUUGGUGGGGUAGUGGCUUACCAAGGCUUUGACGGGUAGCCGGCCUGAGAGGGUGACCGGCCACAUUGGGACUGAGAUACGGCCCAGACUCCUACGGGAAGCAGCAGUGGGGAAUAUUGCACAAUGGGUGGAAGCCUGAUGCAGCAACGCCGCGUGCGGGAUGACGGCCUUCGGGUUGUAAACCGCUUUCGCCUGUGACGAAGCGUGAGUGACGGUAAUGGGUAAAGAAGCACCGGCUAACUACGUG